GGUGGAGCAUGUGGUUUAAUUCGAAGCAACGCGAAGAACCUUACCAAAUCUUGACAUCCUUUGACCGCUCUAGAGAUAGAGUCUUCCCCUUCGGGGGACAAAGUGACAGGUGGUGCAUGGUUGUCGUCAGCUCGUGUCGUGAGAUGUUGGGUUAAGUCCCGCAACGAGCGCAACCCUUAAGCUUAGUUGCCAUCAUUAAGUUGGGCACUCUAGGUUGACUGCCGGUGACAAACCGGAGGAAGGUGGGGAUGACGUCAAAUCAUCAUGCCCCUUAUGAUUUGGGCUACACACGUGCUACAAUGGAUAAUACAAAGGGCAGCGAAUCCGCGAGGCCAAGCAAAUCCCAUAAAAUUAUUCUCAGUUCGGAUUGUAGUCUGCAACUCGACUACAUGAAGCUGGAAUCGCUAGUAAUCGUAGAUCAGCAUGCUACGGUGAAUACGUUCCCGGGUCUUGUACACACCGCCCGUCACACCACGAGAGU
rnacentral:rRNA from 1 species